GAAAACUAGACAUGGAUUUUGUAGGAAUUCUGGGACAUGGUACCAGGCUGGUAAUUUAUAAAGUUGGGAUUUUAUUGAGGAGAGAGGGAUGGCGAUUGAUGUGAAGGGGUCAGGACCAAUUGCAGCAGUGAGAGGAAACAGUCACCAACAUCAGCAAAUAUGGGGCAAGAAGAAAUAAGUGAAGUGAUGGGCAGAACAGUGAACAAGGUGGAGGGAGCUGGAACUAGGUCUCAUGUACUUGAGUAUAUGAUGCGUUCUGAGGAGAAAUAUUGUUCAUGUAAGUUGUGCCCAACGGUUAGCAAAUCGAUCAGGUCUCUCUGUCUCGACAUGAAAGGUAACAUAUUCCUUACCUCUAGAGAUGCUACCUGGAGCUAAUUUGCUCCAUAAUUUUGUGUCAAUCUGUCAGACCCAAUGUUUACUUUCAAUCUACUUUCUCUUUCUGCUCUUCAGUGGGGAAUUGCAAAACUGCGUGGUUUGACCGUGAUAACCCAUCAGGAAAUGGAGAUUAUGAAAUCUUCCCCAAUCUGCGAACUGAGAAUCCCGGUCAGAUCUGCACGGAUCCAAUCGCCUGUGAGGUGGAGACAACAUCAGGGAUUCCGGCCUCACAGACUGGAGAGAACAUUGCCAGUUGCAACGUUUCUACUGGAUUCUUUUGUGUGAACAGCAACCAACGUGAUGGCUCAUGUCAAGAUUACAGAAUACGAUUCACCUGCCCUGAUUCCUUUUGUGGUGUUACCGAACCUCCUG